UACCAGCACCCCGAGUGGUCGGGACGUUUAUUGGGCCUAAAGCAUCCGUAGCCGGUUCUACAAGUCUUCCGUUAAAUACCAGCUGCUUAACAGAUGGCGUGCGGAAGAUACUAUGGAGCUAGGAGGCGGGAGAGGCAAGCGGUACUCGAUGGGUAGGGGUAAAAUCCGUUGAUCCAUUGAAGACCACCAGUGGCGAAGGCGGCUUGCCAGAACGCGCUCGACGGUGAGGGAUGAAAGCUGGGGGAGCAAACCGG
rnacentral:rRNA from 1 species